rnacentral:rRNA from 1 species
AAUAUUGCGCAAUGGAGGGAACUCUGACGCAGCGACGCCGCGUGAGCGAUGAAGGUCUUCGGAUCGUAAAGCUCUGUCCUUGGGGAAGAAGGUCUUCGGACUUGACGGUACCUAAGGAGGAAGCCCCGGCUAACUACGUGCCAGCAGCCGCGGUAAUACAGAGGGUGCAAGCGUUAACCGGAAUUACUGGGCGUAAAGCGCGCGUAGGUGGUUCAGUAAGAUGAGUGUGAAAUCCCCGGGCUUAACCUGGGAACUGCUUUCAUAACUGCUGAGCUAGAGUACGGUAGAGGGUAGUGGAAUUUCCUGUGUAGCGGUGAAAUGCGUAGAGAUUAGGAGGAACACCAGUGGCGAAGGCGACUUUCUGGACUGUAACUGACGCUGAGGUACGAAAGCGUGGGUAGCGAACA